GGCAAUAUCACAAACCAGAAAGCCAACAUCCUUCUUGGACAGAUUUCAAAUACACAAUCUAAAGAAACUUGGACAUGUAUAAUGUAUUUAUACAGAUGAGUUAUGCAAAGAAGAUGAUAUUGAUAUCAGAAAAAAGGUCUUAGGUAAGGGAAAGAGUUGACCAAGUAGGCAAGUAAUUUGUGCCAGCUUCGUACGGAGUCCCUUUCUUGCAAGAAAAAAUAAUGGCUGUUUAAUAUAUUUGGUGAACUUGGAGGUGGUUGAUUACUAUAGGGUCUGGGAAGGGCAGUUGGAGCCGGCAAGAAGAAAACUUGUUUGCCAGGUUAUGCAUGAAAUUAUAAAUUAUGUUGUUAAUGUUGCUAUUAUUGUUAUUAAUAGGAGACGGGCAGGAACGGAUCAACAAAAAUUUCAUGAAAUCUUAAUGUUAUUAAGUGUAACUAUUAUGUUGUCAAACUAUAUUAAUAUAAAGAAAAAUAUUUUGUAUCACCA